rnacentral:rRNA from 1 species
UACAGAGACUGCAAGCGUUAUUCGGAUUCACUGGGCGUAAAGGGUGCGCAGGCGGCCAAGUGUGUGAGGCGUGAAAGGCCCGGGGCUUAACCCCGGAAUUGCACCUCAAACUACAAUGGCUAGAGCAUUGGAGAGGGUAGCAGAAUUCAUGGUGUAGCAGUGAAAUGCGUAGAUAUCAUGAGGAAUACCAGAGGCGAAGGCGGCUACCUGGACAACUUGCUGACGCUCAGGCAACGAAAGCGUGGGGAGCAAACAGG